rnacentral:ncRNA from 1 species
UCGCAGGAUGUUAGGCUUUCUUAGCACUUCUUAUUAUUGUCAGCAAUAUUCGGACAGGAGGUCCGAAUAAGGCUCGCACGCGGCAUGGAGGGCGCGUAAGAGCCGGUUGCGUCACUAUUAGAAAAUAACAAUGAAGUGCUUAGAAAGCAUUACAUC